rnacentral:rRNA from 1 species
AGCAGUCGCCGCGGGAAUACAGAGGGUGCGAGCGUUAAUCGGAUUUACUGGGCGUAAAGCGUGCGUAGGCGGCUUCUUAAGUCGGAUGUGAAAUCCCUGAGCUUAACUUAGGAAUUGCAUUCGAUACUGGGAAGCUAGAGUAUGGGAGAGGAUGGUAGAAUUCCAGGUGUAGCGGUGAAAUGCGUAGAGAUCUGGAGGAAUACCGAUGGCGAAGGCAGCCAUCUGGCCUAAUACUGACGCUGAGGUACGAAAGCAUGGGGAGCAAACAGGAUUAGAGACCCCAGUAGUCCCUGUCUAUUAUAC